rnacentral:rRNA from 1 species
CUUUUAUUAUGAGAGUUUGAUCCUGGCUCAGGACGAACGCUGGCGGCGUGCCUAAUACAUGCAAGUCGAACGCU